ACCUGGGUGGCUCAGUCGGUAGAGCAUGUGACUUUGGAUCUCAGGUUGUGAGUUUGAGUCCCAUGUUGGGUG
rnacentral:tRNA from 1 species